rnacentral:rRNA from 1 species
CAGGCCUAACACAUGCAAGUCGAGCGGAAACGAGUUAUCUGAACCUUCGGGGGACGAUAACGGCGUCGAGCGGCGGACGGGUGAGUAAUGCCUAGGAAAUUGCCCUGAUGUGGGGGAUAACCAUUGGAAACGAUGGCUAAUACCGCAUAAUGCCUACGGGCCAAAGAGGGGGGCCUUCGGGCCUCUCGCGUCAGGAUAUGCCUAGGUGGGAUUAGCUAGUUGGUGAGGUAAUGGCUCACCAAGGCGACGAUCCCUAGCUGGUCUGAGAGGAUGAUCAGCCACACUGGAACUGAGACACGGUCCAGACUCCUACGGGAGGCAGCAGUGGGGAAUAUUGCACAAUGGGCGCAAGCCUGAUGCAGCCAUGCCGCGUGUGUGAAGAAGGCCUUCGGGUUGUAAAGCACUUUCAGUCGUGAGGAAGGUAGUGUAGUUAAUAGCUGCAUUAUUUGACGUUAGCGACAGAAGAAGCACCGGCUAACUCCGUGCCAGCAGCCGCGGUAAUACGGAGGGUGCGAGCGUUAAUCGGAAUUACUGGGCGUAAAGCGCAUGCAGGUGGUUUUGUUAAGUCAGAUGUGAAAGCCCGGGGCUCAACCUCGGAAUAGCAUUUGAAACUGGCAGACUAGAGUACUGUAGAGGGGGGUAGAAUUUC